rnacentral:lncRNA from 10 species
GAACAAAGCAAAAAUGGAAACCCCUGAUAAACCCAUCAGAUCUCUUGAGAUUUAUUCACUAUCACGAGAAUAGCAUGGGAAAGACCAGCCCCCAAGAUUCAAUUAUUUCCCCUGGGUCCCUCUCACAACACAUGGGAAUUCUGGGAAAUACAAUUCAAGUUGAGAUUUGGGUGGGGACACAGCCAAACUAUAUCAUUCCACCCCGGCCCCUCCAAGUCUCAUGUCUUCACAUUUCACAACCAAUCAUGGCUUCCCAACAGUCUUCCAAAGUCUUAACUCAUUUCAGCAUUAACCCAAAAGUCCACAGUCCAAAGUCUCAUCUGAGACAAGGCAAGUCCCUUCCACCUAUGAGCCUAUAAAAUCAAAAGCUAGCUAGUUACUUCCUAGAUACAAUGUGAGUACAGGUAUUGGGUAAAUGCAGCCAUUCCAAAUGGGAGAAAUUGGCCAAAACAAAGGGGUUACAGGGCCCAUGCAAGUCUGAAAUCCAGUGGGGCAGUCAAAUUUUAAAGCUCCAAAAUUAUCUCCUUUGAUUCCAGGUCUCACAACCAGGUCACACUGAUGCAAGAGGUGGGUUCCCAUGGUCUUGGCCAGCUCCGCCCCUUGUGGCUUUACAGGGUACAGCCUCCCUCCCAGCUGCUUUCACAGGCUGGUGUUGAGUGUCUGAAGCUUUUCCAGGUGCAUGGUGCAAGCUGUGGGUGGAUCUACCAUUCUGGAGUCUGGAGAACAGUGGCCCUCUUCUCACAGCUCCACUAGGCAGUGACCCAAUAGGGACUCUGUGUGGGGGCUCUGACCCCACAUUUCCCUUCCACACUGCCCUAGCAGAGGUUCUCCAUGAGGGCCCCACCCCUGUAGCAAACUUUUGCCUGGACAUCCAGGCAUUUCCACACAUCUUCUGAAAUCUAGGCAGAGGUUCCUAAACUUCAAUUCUUUUUUUUUUUUUUUGAGAUGGAGUUUCGCUCUUGUCACCCAGGCUGGAAUGCAAUGGCACGAUCUUGAGUCACUGCAACCUUUGCCUCCCGGGUUCAAGCGAUUCUCCUGCCUCAGCCUCCCGAGUAGCUGGGAUUACAAGCAUGCGCC